rnacentral:pre_miRNA from 1 species
UUGUGCAGGGUGGAGAAGCAGGACACGUGAGCGACCAUCCAGUUUCCAUCGCUGGCUCUCCGCUGCGGGCGCUGCCGUGCGUUGGAUCGUCGUUGGGUGGUCGCUCAUGUGUCCGUCCUCUCCACCGAGCACCG